rnacentral:rRNA from 1 species
UCGAGAAUCUUCGGCAAUGAGCGCAAGCUUGACCGAGCGACGCCGCGUGUGGGAUGAAGGCCUUCGGGUUGUAAACCACUGUCGCAGGGGACGAAAUUCUAGUGGGUACUCCCAUUAGAUUGACAGAUCCUGGGAGGAAGGGUGGGCUAAGUUCGUGCCAGCAGCCGCGGUAAGACGUACCACCCGAACGUUAUUCGGAUUCACUGGGCUUACAGAGUCCGUAGGCGGUCAAGAAAGUUAGGCGUGAAAU